AUGUUGGCUACACUGAUCUCGAACUCCUGACCUCAAGUGAUCCACCUGCCUCGGCCUCCCAAAGUGCUAGGAUUACAAGUGUGAGCUACUACACCCAGCUUGAAAAUUAGUUUUAAAGAAUGGUUUUAAACACCAUCAACUUGAUAGAAUUUUUUUAAAUUGUAUAAUCUAUUGGAUAUAAGACAGACUAAAAUAAUUGUUUUGAUUGAAAUAUUAAAAAUUGUUUUCUAUACUUAUUUGUUUUAGUCAUCUUUAAAACUAAGGUAGGGAGACUUGGCUACACUGUUGAGGAGCUGGUUUGCCAUGAAGUCCUGAUAUUUAUUUGUAGACCUGAAUUCCCAGUGGCCUAAAUACCUCAGUGAACAUUUCUGUAAUUUUUAUUGAAUUAUUUAGUUUCAGAGAAUGUCUAAAUUGACUUUUAUAAGAUUUAGCAUAUUGUAUUUGUGUGCUGAAGAAAAAUCAAAUAAUAAACUUAACUACCUUAGAAUAUUUUUGAACUGAUAUAAAAUAUAAUUUAAAAAUUAGUUAACAGUAUGCUUUUAGUAGGUCUUAGACUGACCCUACCAUAGAAAACAGCUGUGAACUCCAGAAAAAUAUAAGGAACAAACAGCUUUCUGAAGGCACAGAAUAGAAAAGAAAAGCAAGAGAAUCUGGAGGAGAAUUCUGCGUAGAAGAAGGAAUGGCACACAGUUAUUUUCCCUGUUUUUAUGGCUUUUAUCCUGAGGACAGGCUACAUUUGGCACUGUGCACUCGCUAGACCUCCAAAUGGAAAUUCAAAGUCCUUCUGCCUUGAGGAAGUAGAGAAUAGGGUUCAGGAAAGCUACAGACAUUGGAAAGUUAGGGAAAAAUAGUAGAAAAAUCUGGGAAUAACUGUGCCUAAGCUUUUGGCUGGCUUCUGAACCGCAUUUGUGCAGGGUGGAUUCAGAGCAGCACAGCUAAGAAUUAAAGAACCAAACUGAAAUUUGAGGUGUACCCAAGACACAGAGUUUGUACUUUGAACCCCAACCAAGUUAAUUACCUGCCAAAACAAAUAAAAAUCCUGUACUUAUUCAAAGAGUAUAACAAUGUCCAGAGUCUCUAAAAUAUAUAGCAUUCAUAAUGUCCAAAUAUAUCUCAUAUAUCCAGAAUUACUCAAUAUAAGAAGAACCAGGAUGGGGAGUUAGUAUUUAAUGAAUAUAGAGUUUCUAUUUGGGAAGAUAAAAAAUGCUACAGAUAGAUGGUAGUAGUGGUGGCAUAAUAUGGUAAAUGUAAGUAUACUUAAUGCCACUAACCUAUACACUGAGAAAUGGUUAAAAUGGUAAAAGUUUAUGUUUAUUUAAUCACAAUAAGAAAGAAGAAUACCAGGAAAAUGGAAAAUUGAUGAAUUUUCAAGAAAAAAAAUCAGCAGAAACCAACCUAGGUGUUGGAAUUUGCAGGCAAACAUUUCAAAGUAAAUAUUACACAUAUGGCUAGUGACAUAAAGGAAAAUGAAUGAAAGAAAAGGUAAAUAUCAGCAGAGAAAUAGAAACUGUAAAAAAGAAUCAGGUGGAAGUUCUAGAACUGAAAAAAAACCAGUAUCUGAAAAAUUAACAUCUUGUCUAGUUUGAGUAUUAAAUGUUCUGUUUUUUAAUAAUUUUAUGUUACAUUAUGUUUAAGACGCCUUAGAUGAGUUUCUAUAAGCUGAAAUUAGUUCUAACUCUGGGCUCUUUCAGAUGAGAGUUUGUAUUGGGAAAGCAGUUAAUUAAAAUUAUGUAUGCAUAGAACUAUUUGAUAUCAAUUACUGGGAGACAGGUAGUGAUAGAGAAUGUAGGUUCUAAACUUAGACUGGCAUCAAAUCAUGUUGUGCCACUUACUACAUGAUUUUGGACAAAUCAUGUAACCUAUACGAGAUUUCAUUUCCUCAUCUAUAAAAUGGGAAUUAUUAUAAUAUAGUCAAUUUUGCUAUAAUGCAACAUAUAUGCUUCUAAAAUUAUUUUGCAAUACAAAAUCAACAAUAAAAACCAUAGGAAUUAUUGGAAAAAAUGGAGUUAGAGUCACAACACUCAAAAACUAUGUUUGUGACAUAUUUUUUAAAAAAGGAACCUAAAGGAGCACAAUUUUACACAUGUUAAAUGGUUAACAAUAAAUACUACAGUGAUACUGCUCUUUAUAUUGAAAAAGACUUGAGGUUUGCUUAUGGAAGAAAUGUUGUACUUGUUAAGUGAUAGAGGAUUAAUCUGAAGUUGGAUGGAAAGUUGUACCUCCUAAUGAGCGUGAGUAUGGCACAUAACACAUGUAGAUGUUAAUCUCUGAAAUACAUGUUUGAGGUAUGUAUGUUUUAUGUAUUCCUACAUAGCUCUGUUUAGCUCUGUUUAUGCCUUCACCUAGUAUUUCUUGCAGAAGAAAUCACCACAAAAUUCAUGUUAUGCCCAAAUUGUUCGCUAAUAUGCUAACUGAGUUGGAACAAAUGCACAUUUUCAAAACAAGCAUUAGAGUAGAACUGACUGUACCUACCUCACAAAGUUAUUAUGAGGAUAACAUGAAACAGUUCAUGUAAAAUGCUUAGAUUUCCUGGCACAUAAUAGUGCCUAGUUCAUUUUCGUUACCCUUCUUUUGUAACCCUAUCGAGCAACUGCUAUGUUCUUCUUAGGGAAUAUGAUGAUUUACAGUGAAGAAACUAGUCUAGUUACUGAGAAAAACUGUAUUCUUAUUAGGAAAAACCCACUCAUUUGGGUUUAUCCUACUGAGAUUUUCUCAGUAGGAUGCUGAAAUCUACCCCCCUACCCCCCUUUUUCAGUUUGUGAAGAAAAAAAUGAUUAGAAAUAAAUAUCAAGAGCAGAAAACACUCUUAGAAUACUCUCACAGAGGAGUAAUUUCACUUUUACAUGGGAAAAAGGUUGAAAGACUUUGAAACCAGUUGAAGUUGCUGCAAUCUAGAGCCGUUAGGCAGUAUAAAGAUUUAGCAUGAUUUCAUUGAAACAGUCUACUGAAGUUUGAGGAAGAAAGGUAGGAUUUAAUGAAAUUAAUUAAUAACAAUUUAAAAGUUAACAAAUCAAAGAUGCUUUUGUUUUUAAAGCUUUCUCUAAUAGUGUGUCAUCUUUUAAAUGUAGUGAUAAGUGCCUUAAGUUAAUGUUUUUCUUAGCACAUUUUAAAUUAUGAAACCUAUGGAAAAGUACAUCAUAGCGUAAAUACAUAUGUGUAUAUCUACCAUUAAGAUUAAGUUGAUAUUCACAUUUGCCUUUUAUUUAUUUAUUAAAUGUAAGAUGUAUAGAACUAGAACUUCAAGCUCCUGUUCACACCUUCCUUUCUUCCCCAUUGGUAACCACUGCCACCUUGUUGGUGUGUUUCAUUCAGUCAUCCAUGUUUAUAUUUUUGUUACAUGAAUAUAAGCAACGUACGAUCAUUUUGUGAGUUUUCAAAUUUUACAUAAAUAUUCCACUUUAUAUAUAGUUUGCAGCUUUUUUUGCUUAAUAUCAUGUUUUUGAAAUAUGGAUAUGUAUAGAUAUAAUUACUAUUUCAGUCUAUGAGACAGUUAAGUUUCUACUUUUCUGCUAUUAAAAAAGGAAGUGCUUCCUUGAGUUCUUUUUUAUUCUUAGUGAGAGAUUUUGUAAAUCACACUGAUGUUUUAGUAAUUUCUCCUAAUGUUAAAAGCAGAUUCUCUCUUGUCCUGUGAUUCAGGUCUUUGGAGAAAUCUCCUUCCCAUCAAAGCCUCCUUAAUGUGAUUUAACAAAAGGAGGCUUGGACACUCUGCAGUGACAUCUCUAUCCUUUCUUUGAUAUGUUUUCUUGGCAUUGAAAAACUCAAGUAAAUAUAACAUAGAAAGGAAGACCUUAUAGAAAACUUUUCAAGUUGACAAAAAGGUGGUUACUAUUAAAUUCAGAAAUUCCAUCCAAAUCACGUAAAGAAUUCUGUUUAGUCAUGAAAUUAAGAAACUAAUCAGAUGGAACAAUGGUACUGCUUAGGUUUGCCUCUGGUAUAAGAAUUCUAUGUAGAGUUUACUUCAUUUACCAAACACAUUUGUCGGUAUCGUUCUGUUGAAAAAUAACAAUGUAGAACCAAUAUAAAUCUUUACCAUGCCAAAUGCAGACUUCUGUGUCCUUUUUAUCUAAUAGUAAAGAUAUUAUUAGAACUAUAGUAUUAAUGGUAAAAUAUAUUAGGACUAUAUUUUAAGAGACCUUUUUCAUUAUUUGUACUGACUUAACAAUCUAUUAGAAGAAAGGUAUUGUUUGAAUAGAUAUUUACCAGUUUAUUUUUAGAAUAUUUUGAGAAGUCUUUUAAAUAAUGAUUUUCUUAAUUUAUAUGUAACAUUUCCUCAAAUUCAUUUUUCCUGUGUCACAAUGACUUAGAGUCAAUCUGAAGAAAAUGUAAUUGCUGUAAAUAGUAUCUGGAUAGCAUUAGCCAUUAGUUGUUACCAAUAAUGGUUCCUUAAAUCUAAGCAGGAAAAUUAGUCUGAAAACAAAAUUUAAUAAAUAGCUCUGUGUAUGAUAUUGAAUAUUUCUGUUAAGGAUAGUACAUUAUAUUGUCUUUGCUUAUCUUGUGUAAUGUAUGAAUAAAACAAAUUUAAAAGUACUAUUUAAUUAAUGUCCCAUCUGGUUUUGGAUUGAGCCUCUGGUGAUAUUAAAAUGUCAUGAUUGUUUACUUAAAUGUUGUCUGUUUUCUUCCUAACAGUUUCUCUGGACAGAUCUAAUUUAUGCCUGUUGACUCCAUGCCAUCUAGUUUAGGAUUUGUCCCAAAUUUUUAAUGAAGUAAUAUCACUAAUAUUUGCAUUAAAAUAGCACAGUUAAUUUGUAGGCCUUUGCUUUGAGGUCUUCCAGCUUCUGCUGUAAUUUUAUCUACUGGCAUGUUAAGACACAAGUGCAUUGAACAGAGAUUUCAUUUUAAUAUGUGAGCCAUUUAAAUCUGAAGGACUAUAUCUUUUUCCAGCCCUUUCUAGAUGUAACAUAACUAACUUCUUCCUUUUAGAAAGCAUGCAGGGUGUGUGCUGAUAAAUGAAGUAUACUCUGACAAAGCAGGUGGGAAUAGCUCUCUUUUGCUUUGUUGGAGGUAGAGAGAUGAGUAUUUAACAAUGCUUCAUUUGUCAGCAACUUAAUAUACCAGCAAGUGUUGCCAUGGCCUAUAAGAUGCAUGAGGCUCCAGGCUGCCACUUGGUGGAAUGAAAUGCAAACAUGGGAAGUUAUCGGUUGGUUGUAGGUGAAAUAUGUGCAGGAAAUAAAGACUGGAUGCCGUAGGUCAUUAAAGAGUGGUGAAAGCACUCUUGCUAUAGUAGUUUUGUCAUUUGUUGUAUAGAGUAAAUCUAAAGUUUAUUUUCUUAUUUGGCAAUUCUUUUUUUAAAUCUUGUUAUAAAAUCAUCAGCAAUAAAUUUUUUAAAAUGGAAGUGUGUGUUUAACAAAGAACAAAGUGGUAAAUUUCCACUUAGCACUUAAAAUGCACAAAAUAUUUAUUGACACUUUCCAACCGCCAUGAGAGUGGUAGUGAUCUCACUGACCACACAACAACCAGAAGACACAACAAUCUGCUACAAAAGAAUCAACAUCCGUUUAAAAAGCUAGUAGUUAUUUUUAAAUUAUGCUUUAAGACAACAUUUUAAUACAUACAGGUGCAGAAGUUGUUUAUAUAAUUCCAUGUGAAACAUGAUCUCAUUUAGAUCAAAUAACUUUUUGAAAAUUAGUUUUUUACUUUUAUUCUAUGUUUUCUUGUGCACAUAUGAAAAGUGUAACAAGAGCUGUUAAUGUGUUGGCUCCAUUAGUAGAAAAAACGCCCAACACUGCUGGUUUCAAAUAAAAAAUCAGUUAAUUCCAAUAAUAGACUUUUUUCAUUCAAUGUAUUUGUAUAUUUGUUUGGUAAGGGUGGUAAAUGGGAACAAAGUAAAGCUUUUGGAAGUUUAUUCUGUCAAAAUAUUAUAAAUGCUAUUGUAAAUUUAAAAGUUCAACAUUGAAGAUAAAAUUGUUUUUGAUGAAAGGGUGUUGUCAGGGUAAAAAUCAAUAUUCUUAUUAAAUUAAGAAAACUAUGGAAGAGAAAUGUUUUGGGAAUUGGUCAUGGUGCAUACAAACAAACUCUGCUUAUUCAGCCAUUUGAAAUAAAACUAUAGUGGUCAAAUUAACUUGUAUUAGUAUAUACAGUUUGACCAAACUGUAAAAUCCUUAUGAUGAAACUCAUGUUGAAAAACCAUUCUGUAGCAUAACAAUACACACUGUCUUUAAUGCAUAUUAGCAACAGAAUUUUCGAUACUUGAGUUUAUGAAGAACUUUGUAAAUUAAGUGUCUUAUAUUGGCUUAAUUUUUUUUUAUUUGUAAUUGAGUCUUCUGUAUGUUGGUUAAGUUUUGGUUCACAAAUUGUUUGGAUUAUUUAAAGUGCCACUAGUAAAUGCCAAAAAACUUUACCUUUUGAAAAAUUUUAGCAGACAGCAGUUAUUAGAAAGACUUUGAAAGUUAUCCCUGUACAGGCAAGGUAAGAACUGAACAGGUUAAAUGGUGAGAGCUCAAGAUUUAAUCAAGAGGUUGUCAUUUGCACUAUCUCAGCUAUUGUGAAGACUUUCAGUGGAAAAUUUAUAUUGUGUAGAAUGAAAUGAAAUUGAGAAGGUUGGUUUUGUAGUAUCUAAGUUGAUGAAAUAUUUUUAAAAGGAUAAAUAAUUAUUUGAAAAUUUUGUCAAUAUUGAAAAAACUCAUUGACUAAAUGGGGAAAAGUCAAAUAUUUGGGUUUGAAAUAGUUACAGUUUUUAACAUAAAAGCAAGGAUUGGGAGUAUUCUUCAUUCAAUAGAUUUUUUCCUGAGAUUAUGUGGUUGUCCAGAAAUACUCUAAAGAGGAUAUUUUCUCCAUUAAAAAUAUGGUCUACAGAGAAGAGUAAGUUGAAAAUGUCAACAAUUUCAUAAAUACUCCUUGCAAAAAUUUAAUUGUGAAAAAGAUUGCAAUUUUAUUUUUUAAAAAAACUUAGACCAUAUAAAAAUGUAUUCUCCAGAGAAAUACCAGUGCAUUGUUACUAGAUAAAUGCAGUGAAGAAACUGAUUCAUGUAUGAUGAAUAAUUAUUCUGCUUAUGUUUGUAAUGCAUCAUUGUACACAAAAAUGUUUUUAUCUUUUCAAGAUAAUGUGAUUUUUGAAAAUACAUUUUAAUAAAACUUAUUUAUAAGCUUACAAUAUAAUACAUUCUUACAAUAUAAUACAGUAAAUAGUUUUAAAUUAUAUAAUUUUCAUUACUUUAAAUGCCCUAUCUAACUUUCCCAAUUGGUUAAUAUAUUGAAAAUGUUUAAUUUCCCAAAAAUUAAUUUUGGGGAUAAGAAAUAAAGCAAAAUGUAUUAUGCUGCUAGCUCAAAAAAAAAAUCAUUGCAAUUAAGAGACUCUUUCUUUUAUUUUAGUUGCAGAUUUAAAAUCUCAGUACUCAAAUGGACUAUAGAGUUAACCACGUUGUAAAUUCUAACUCCACAUUUGAGAAAAUUAAUGAUUAAGUGGAUUUUCCGGGUUUUUCCAGCAAGUUAAUUACACAGUUUAGUGUACCACAUUUUCUUUUAAGCUGGUUUUGAAUGGUAUUCCUCGUUUGGCUAAUAUUUUGCUAAUUGUCUUUAAAGAAAUGAAUCAUGGAAAUGUUCUUAUCUGUACUUGAACCAACAUGUUCUAGCAAUUAGUGAGUAGCAAUUGUUGGUACCCAAAUUCAUAAUAGCUCUAUUAACAUUUUCACUUGUAUUUUUUAUAAUUCUACUUUAAUAAAACUAGGUUAAUCCUUUUUAAAUACCCUGCUACUGAAAUAAGGUUGCCUUCUAUCGAAUCAAUUAUCUUAAGCAAUUAUUGUAAAAGAGUUUACCACACCGUUCCUCUACUUUGACUUAUUGUUCUAGAAUUGUCUUUAGCUCUGCCUAACUUGAUUUUAUUUUUAAUCUGCAUCUAAUGUGUAUAAAAUGUUCUAAUCUAAUGUAAAUGAUUUACUGUUCCUCAGUUUAUUUUUCCUAUGUAUUACAAAUUCUGUUUGGCUUAUAAUCAAAAUUGUACAAAGGUAGCCUUCUCAUUAAAACUAUGCUUUUUCAGUAAAAUAAUUGUAGUUUAAAAUACAAACCUAUUUUGUUAACGUUUCAAUUUUGGUUUAAUUAUUAUUAAAAUUAUUUCAAUAUAUGUUAAUGUAGUACUUUCAAAAAUUGACUUAGGAAGUCUUAUUAUGGUAUAAAAGCUACUAUAAUAAGUUUUUCCCUUACAUAAAUAAAUAAAUGACCAAUAUUACUAGAGGCUAUAAGCAGCAUGGGGGAAAAAUGGAAGAAGUCUUUUAUCCUAGUUUUUAGAGGGCAUCAGCAGCUUGCUUUUAUGAAAAAGUAACAGCUAAAUGCACUGCAAAUAAUUUGCAGUAAUCCAGUUCAGUGAUUCAUGUGUCUGCUUUAAUGGGUCAUAAUUCAGGGUAAAGUAACUGAGUGCAGUCAGAGUGCAGACACUGCUUAUGCCAGGGACAGUAUCUCUUCAUAAAACACACCUCAGGAGAAGCAGUUUGCCAGCCCCCUAAUACUCUCUGAUGUUUUGAUGUCCUGCAUAUUUUUCCGAUUAAGUUUUGAGUGCCAUGUUUUUAGUUGUAUUUCCACAUUCAUUAUUCUCACGUAGACCCUUCAGCGGGUUUGCCAUAUAUGAUUAUUUUUUUAAUGAUGCCUUUCUUUCCACUUCAGCAGUUUAAUAAUCUAGCACAUGGCUGCUUCUCAAUACUCAGCAUU